UACGUAGGGUGCGAGCGUUGUCCGGAAUUAUUGGGCGUAAAGAGCUUGUAGGCGGUCUGUCGCGUCUGCUGUGAAAAUCCGGGGCUCAACCCCGGACUUGCAGUGGGUACGGGCAGACUAGAGUGUGGUAGGGGAGACUGGAAUUCCUGGUGUAGCGGUGAAAUGCGCAGAUAUCAGGAGGAACACCUAUGGCGAAAGCAGGCUUCUGGGCCGUCUCUGACGCUGAGCUGCGAAAGCUAGGGGAGCAAACAGG
rnacentral:rRNA from 1 species